rnacentral:lncRNA from 1 species
UUCCUUUUGUGCAUUCUGUGUAGGUGGACCACAGAAAAUAUAGGAAACAGGAAGGUUAAACGCAACAGGAAUCCACCUUUUGUGUUCAGCAAUGUGGGGAUGUCCAUCUUGCUGCCAAGUUCUGUUCCCUGCCCUCAAGGAGGUAAUGUUAUUGUAACCCCGUCAGAGGGGUUGGUCAGGAAAACAGAAGCCACUCUAGGUAUUCCAAGUAGGAAGGGUUCUAACACAGGGAAUUGGAGACCUGCACGAUUGCUGGAAGGGCCGGAGGAAUCAAGGUGGGGCCUGGAGCUGCCAGAGGUGGGUGACUUACAGGAGCUCACCCGGAAGCAGCAAAGGACCCAGAAAUCUCAGCAGUUGCUGCCACCACCAACCUCAGCAGCCUGAGGCACCGGAGCAUGCAAUUCUCAAGAAACUGAGUUUUGCCCAAGCAUCUUGCUGCAGCUGCCACAAGAGAAUGACAGCCGUUCUUCUCUUCCACCUCCCAGUUCUCACAGGAAUGCCUCUCAUUGGCCGACUCUAACCUGGAGCUGUACAGGGAAGGGGAUUCUGAGAAAAGCAGUCCCAAGCUUCUCCUCCGAGGUGCAGGCUGUCAAAGUGUGUGGCCAUGAUGCCAGAGGACAAGAGACAAUGAGUUUGGUUUCAGAGCCACAAAUCAGAAAGAACAAAGAGAUUUCAUCCUAAGGGACAGCCCUUGAUUACUUGGGGAUGGCUGCCUGGAGGGCUGUUUCGAAAAUAAUUUCAAGGUGGUACCUAGGCCCAGCAGGAAAAGGUGCUAUGAUUGAUUAGCAAUGCCUGUCAUGGGUGUGGAAUGAGAGUGAGGAAUUGUACACAACAAACUUGCAAUGGUGCUCCAAACUAAUGAUUGAAAGACUUUCUAAAGUCACUGCCAUUUGUAUUUGUUCCUUUUUUCCCUGAGUCAGUUGUGUAAAUUGCAACCAUCCAUGUGGGGUGUUAUCCCCAUGAGCCUUGAGCUCAAGAGGGACACAGGAAUUGGAGCAGCUGGCAAGGAGCAGGGCAGGGACAUGGGGCACCUGUGGGGUCUCUAGCCUUCGGAACCAUGCUCUGCACAAUCCACACAGUCACACUCCUCAAGGUCAUCUCACGAUGCUGUGCUGAGGAGCCUGGGGUGUUCAGGAGGAGGACGGUUGGAGGAAUGCCAUAGCACGGAGCUCCAGGAGGC